UACGGAGGGUGCAAGCGUUAUCCGGAUUUACUGGGUUUAAAGGGUGCGUAGGUGGGUCUGUAAGUCAGUGGUGAAAUCUCCGUGCUUAACACGGAAACUGCCAUUGAUACUAUGUUUCUUGAAUUUUCUGGAGGUUAGCGGAAUAUGUCAUGUAGCGGUGAAAUGCUUAGAUAUGACAUAGAACACCGAUUGCGAAGGCAGCUAACUACAGGGAUAUUGACACUGAGGCACGAAAGCGUGGGGAUCAAACAGG
rnacentral:rRNA from 1 species